CCUACGGGAGGCAGCAGUGGGGAAUAUUGGGCAAUGGACGCAAGUCUGACCCAGCAACGCCGCGUGAAGGAAGAAGGCUUUCGGGUUGUAAACUUCUUUUAAGGGGGAAGAGCAGAAGACGGUACCCCUUGAAUAAGCCACGGCUAACUACGUGCCAGCAGCCGCGGUAAUGCGUAGGUGGCAAGCGUUGUCCGGAUUUACUGGGUGGAAAGGGCGUGCAGCCGGCGAGACAAGUCAGAUGUGAAAUCCACGGGCUCAACCCGUGAACUGCAUUUGAAACGGUUUCCCUUGAGUGUCGGAGCGGUAAUCGGAAUUCCUUGUGUAGCGGUGAAAUGCGUAGAUAUAAGGAAGAACACCAGUGGCGCAGGCGGCUUACUGGACGAUAACUGCCGGUGAGGCGCGAAAGCGUGGGGAGCAAACAGGAUUAGAUACCCCGGUAGUC
rnacentral:rRNA from 1 species